rnacentral:rRNA from 1 species
AGUAUAAGCAAUUAUACCGUGAAACUGCGAAUGGCUCAUUAAAUCAGUUAUCGUUUAUUUGAUAGUACCUUACUACUUGGAUAACCGUGGUAAUUCUAGAGCUAAUACAUGCUAAAAAGCCCGACUUCGGAAGGGCUGUAUUUAUUAGAUAAAAAACCAAUGCCCUUCGGGGCUCUUUGGUGAUUCAUAAUAACUUAACGGAUCGCAUGGCCUUGCGCCGGCGACGGUUCAUUCAAAUUUCUGCCCUAUCAACUUUCGAUGGUAAGGUAUUGGCUUACCAUGGUUUCAACGGGUGACGGGGUUUUAGGGAACGACUCCGGAGAGGGAGCCUGAGAAACGGCUACCACAUCCAAGGAAGGCAGCAGGCGCGCAAAUUACCCAAUCCCAAUACGGGGAGGUAGUGACAAUAAAUACUGAUACAGGGCCCUUUCGGGUCUUGUAAUCGGAAUGAGUACAAUUUAAAUACCUUAACGAGGAACAAUUGGAGGGCAAGUCUGGUGGAAAUCCCACUGGCGCCAGACAUAGUGAGGCUAUAAGCCUCGCUAGUCGAGCAUCCCCUAAGUGAUGGGCGGAUGCCGGCAAGGUGACCUUGUAUGAGAUAGCCCUCGCUGGGUAAUCUCAUGGCGAGCUUUCGAGCCGCCAUAACGCGCGCAAAGGCACCGGCCCCAAGGGGCUCAAGGGACGCGCUUUUCCCUCGCGAAAUGCGAGCUUUGAAUGCUGAGCGCCCAUCACGCGAAGCCUCAAAGAGUUGCUUUAGCUAGCAGCUGGAUUGUGAAAUAGGCCAGCAGCCGCGGUAAUUCCAGCUCCAAUAGCGUAUAUUAAAGUUGUUGCAGUUAAAAAGCUCGUAGUUGAAUUUUGGGCCUGGCUGGCCGGUCUGCCUCACCGCAUGCACUGGUUCGGCCGGGCCUUUCCUUCUGGAGAACCUCAUGCCCUUCACUGGGCGUGUUGGGGAACCAGGACUUUUACUUUGAGAAAAUUAGAGUGUUCAAAGCAGGCCUUUGCUCGAAUACGUUAGCAUGGAAUAAUAGAAUAGGACGUGUGGUUCUAUUUUGUUGGUUUCUAGGACCGCCGUAAUGAUUAAUAGGGGUAGUCGGGGGCGUCAGUAUUCAAUUGUCAGAGGUGAAAUUCUUGGAUUUAUUGAAGACUAACUACUGCGAAAGCAUUCGCCAAGGAUGUUUUCAUUAAUCAGUGAACGAAAGUUAGGGGAUCGAAGACGAUCAGAUACCGUCGUAGUCUUAACCGUAAACUAUGCCGACUAGGGAUUGGGCGAUGUUAUUAUUAUUGACUCGCUCAGCACCUUACGAGAAAUCAUAAGUUUUUGGGUUCUGGGG